AUCCUGACUGUGGCGCAAUGGGUCAGUGUGUCUGGCUAUUAACCAGAAGGUUGGUGGUUUGCGCCCGACCAAGGAUG